UUAGCCAGGAUGAGGCGCUAGAGGAGC
rnacentral:piRNA from 1 species